rnacentral:rRNA from 1 species
AACGAACGCUGGCGGCAGGCUCAACACAUGCAAGUCGAACGCCCCGCAAGGGGAGUGGCAGACGGGUGAGUAACGCGUGGGAACGUACCCUUUACCACGGAAUAACUCAGGGAAACUUGUGCUAAUACCGUAUGUGCCCUUCGGGGGAAAGAUUUAUCGGUAAAGGAUCGGCCCGCGUUGGAUUAGCUAGUUGGUGGGGUAAAGGCCUACCAAGGCGACGAUCCAUAGCUGGUCUGAGAGGAUGAUCAGCCACAUUGGGACUGAGACACGGCCCAAACUCCUACGGGAGGCAGCAGUGGGGAAUAUUGGACAAUGGGCGCAAGCCUGAUCCAGCCAUGCCGCGUGAGUGAUGAAGGCCCUAGGGUUGUAAAGCUCUUUCACCGGUGAAGAUAAUGACGGUAACCGGAGAAGAAGCCCCGGCUAACUUCGUGCCAGCCGCCGCGGUAAAAC